CCAUCCCAUGAAAGUUUCUAAAAUUAUUUCUCUUUUUAGAGUCUAAUUGACCUAUAUUUUUCUUUGGUUGUGUCUUAGUUACGUUUCUAUUGCUGUGAUAAAAGUGGCUUGGCCAAGGUGACUUAGAGAGGAAAGGGCUUGCUUGGCCUGUGGUUUGCUUGAUCUGUUUGCUUGGUCUGUGGUUUGCUUGGCCUGUGGUUUGCUUGGCCUGUGGUUUGCUUGGCCUGUGGUUUGCUUGGUCUGUGGUUUGCUUGGUCUGUGGUUUGCUUGGUCUGUGGUUUGCUUGGUCUGUGGUUUGCUUGGCCUGUGGUUUGCUUGGCCUGUGGUUUGCUUGGCCUGUGGUUUGCUUGGUCUGUGGUUUGCUUGGUCUGUGGUUUGCUUGGUCUGUGGUUUGCUUGGCCUGUGGUUUGCUUGGCCUGUGGUUUGCUUGGCCUGUGGUUUGCUUGGUCUGUGGUUCCAGAGAGGUAAGAAGCAGGGAGACAGGCAGCAAGUGGCAGGCGUGGCCACAGGAGCAGGGCUCCUGACUACAAGUUGGAAAGAGCGUAAAUUUGAAAUGGUACAAGUUUUAAACUCUCCAAGUCCACCUUCAGUGACAUACUUCCUCCAGUAUAAGGCCACGAUCCCCAGACUCCCAAACAGCAGCAUGAAUUGGGAGCCAAGUAUUCAAAUGCUAUGGAGAACAUUUCACAUUCCAGCCAUCAUAUUUGCUUGGGUAUUGGAUGCUCUAUCUAAGAAACCAUUUGCUUAUGGAGGCUUACAUCUAUGCUUGCUUAUAAAAGCUAUACUUUUAGUUCUUUCUGAGACAGGGUCUCAUUGUGUACUGUGGCUGGCUUGGAACUCUCUGUGUAGAACAGACUGGUCUCAAAUGUAUAUCUUCCUUUUUUUUUUUUUCCCUAGUCCUGGGAUUAAAAAUGUGCACUACCACACUUGGGCUAUUUUAAAUUCUUA
rnacentral:lncRNA from 1 species